CGAUAGAUAGAAGCUUGCUUUUAUCGAAAGUGGCGCACGGGUGCGUAACGCGUAUGCAACCUACCUUAAUCAGGGGGAUAGCCCGGAGAAAUCCGGAUUAACACCGCAUAAAAACACAGGAUAGCAUUAUCCAAUGUUCAAAUAUUUAUAGGAUUAAGAUGGGCAUGCGUGUCAUUAGCUAGUUGGCGGGGUAACGGCCCACCAAGGCGACGAUGACUAGGGGAUCUGAGAGGAUGGCCCCCCACACUGGUACUGAGACACGGACCAAACUCAAACGGGAGGCAGCAGUAAGGAAUAUUGGUCAAUGGAGGCAACUCUGAACCAGCCAUGCCGCGUGCAGGAAGACUGCCCUAUGGGUUGUAAACUGCUUUUAUCCGGGAAUAAACCACAUUACGUGUAGUGUGCUGAAUGUACCGGAAGAAUAAGGAUCGGCUAACUCCGUGCCAGCAGCCGCGGUAAUACGGAGGAUCCAAGCGUUAUCCGGAUUUAUUGGGUUUAAAGGGUGCGUAGGCGGCCUGUUAAGUCAGGGGUGAAAGACGGUAGCUCAACUAUCGCAGUGCCCUUGAUACUGAUGGGCUUGAAUGGACUAGAGGUAGGCGGAAUGAGACAAGUAGCGGUGAAAUGCAUAGAUAUGUCUCAGAACACCGAUUGCGAAGGCAGCUUACUAUGGUCUUAUUGACGCUGAGGCACGAAAGCGUGGGGAUCAAACAGGAUUAGAUACCCUGGUAGUCCACGCCCUAAACGAUGAACACUCGCUGUUGGCGAUACACAGUCAGCGGCUAAGCGAAAGCGUUAAGUGUUCCACCUGGGGAGUACGCCCGCAAGGGUGAAACUCAAAGGAAUUGACGGGGGCCCGCACAAGCGGAGGAGCAUGUGGUUUAAUUCGAUGAUACGCGAGGAACCUUACCCGGGCUUGAAAGUUAGUGAAUGAUCUAGAGAUAGAUCAGUCCGCAAGGACACGAAACUAGGUGCUGCAUGGCUGUCGUCAGCUCGUGCCGUGAGGUGUUGGGUUAAGUCCCGCAACGAGCGCAACCCCUAUGUUUAGUUGCCAGCACGUAAUGGUGGGGACUCUAAACAGACUGCCUGUGCAAACAGAGAGGAAGGAGGGGACGACGUCAAGUCAUCAUGGCCCUUACGUCCGGGGCUACACACGUGCUACAAUGGAUGGUACAGAGGGCAGCUACAUAGCAAUAUGAUGCGAAUCUCACAAAGCCAUUCACAGUUCGGAUUGGGGUCUGCAACUCGACCCCAUGAAGUUGGAUUCGCUAGUAAUCGCGUAUCAGCAAUGACGCGGUGAAUACGUUCCCGGGCCUUGUACACACCGCCCGUCAAGCCAUGGAAGCUGGGGGUAC
rnacentral:rRNA from 1 species